UGUUUGACACCAUUGUUUCCCCAACUGGCAUCUUUUUCUCUCUCCAGGGACUUUCCCUGGCUACUUCCAGCGUGGCUCUCGGAAGGGAAAACAUACGAUAGAAAGGAAACGAGACGCCAACCCAAAAGAAAAAAGCAGAUUGAGAGGGGCCCCCUCAGCCAUGGCUUGGAGCACCUGCCGAGGGUGUCUCCUGAAGCGACGACAUUUGUGGUGGGGUCUGUUGUGGCAGUUCAGGUUGCUGCUGCCGUUGCCCCUGCUUGGGCGGAAAGUCCACCACCGUGCCAGGUUGGAGGGUGGAUCGCCCGAAAAGACCCCUCAAGACUGGCACCAGGGACGCCACGAGGGCCCACAGGCUGAACUGUAACAAGAGAUACCCUAAUGAGUCCUGAAGGGCAUAACACAAAGAUCACUUUUUGCAAAGGCAUUGGAAACUCUAAAAGACCUUGAAGAAUACAACUACACCCCUGGAAGUGAUCUGCCACAAGCAGCUUCCCUAAUUUCUCUAAUUAGAUAUUAUGUAACUUCUCCCAUCCAAUCUAUAUUCUGUCACCUUAGCCAGCUCAGCAAGGACACCCAAAGAUCUGUCUGUUAAGACAAUGUGUUUGUUUAACAGUAACACCACAAGGCAUGGCUCCAAACUCAGCAUGACGAGUACCAUGGAAGGACUGCUGGAUGCCUAUUGCUAUUGUGCCAAACUUUCUUUCAACCAGCUGUAGGGUGUUGGAGUGGGUUGGGGUUGGGGUUGUGGAAUGGAAGUUGAUGUCCCUCAUCAGUGCCUGUCAUGUGAUUCCACCAUGAGUCAAUAAAUAGCAUUUUGUUCUA